ensembl:misc_RNA
AAAACAAAGGUGCCUUUGCCAAUAUUAUGUUUCUCUUUGACAAGCACUCAGAAUUCUGAGGGGAAUCCACUAUAAAUGGGAUCAGGUUAUUCAUUUAUGUUGUGUUCAAAUAUAAUUUUAUGAUACAUCCUC